rnacentral:misc_RNA from 1 species
GAUGAAGAACGCAGCGAAAUGCGAUAAGUAAUGUGAAUUGCAGAAUUCAGUGAAUCAUCGAAUCUUUGAACGCACAUUGCGCCCGCUAGUAUUCUGGCGGGCAUGCCUGUUCGAGCGUCAUUUCAACCCUCAGGCCCCCAGUGCCUGGCGUUGGGGAUCGGCCGCUGGCGUCCUUCGGGGCGCCUGGCCGGCCCCGAAAUCUAGUGGCGGUCUCGCUGUAGUCCUCCUCUGCGUAGUAGCACAACCUCGCAGUCGGAACUCGGCGGUGGCCAUGCCGUUAAACACCCCACUUCUGAAAGUUGACCUCGGAUCAGGUAGGAAUACCCGCUGAACUUAAGCAUAUCAAUAAGCGGAGGA